CAGAGCAAGACUCUGUCUCAAAAAAAAUACAAAAUAAUAAAUAAAUAAAUAAAUAAAUAAAUAAAUAAAUAAAAUAAAAAAUAAAAUAAAUCUGGAGCUUAGCGAAGGAGUUUAGGAUAAUGAAAUAAACUUGAGAUUCAGCAGGAUGAUAUUUCUAGCAUAAAAAUGGAAAAAGGAGAUAAUAUAGGUAGAGAAAUGGACACAGGAAUGAGUCUAAGGAAUGGCUACAUUUAUAGACUGAGUAACGGAGGAGGAGCCAGCAAAGUAAACUAAGCAGGAAUUAUCAGGGAAGUAGGAGAAAAACCAGGAGAAUGAGGUAUUGUAGAAGCCAAGAAAUGACAGUGUUUUAAGAAAGAGGAAGUGCUGCUAAUAGGUUGAGUAAACAGGACAGAAAAGUAUCUGUUAGACUUGGCAACCCAGAGGUCAAGGAUAAUUUUGAUAUGAGGUAUUAUUACUAUUAUUUACCAAUCAUACCACAUAAGUCUCCUGCCUAAAACCAUUCAGUGGCUUCCCUUUGGCCUUAUGAUGCUGUUCAAAAUACGUCCUAUGCUUUUUAAACCACUCCACCCUGUGCCCAGUGCCUUGUCUCCUGACAUCUGUCUCUGCAGAAAUACUGGAAUUCUUCCCGUUGCAGUUCUGGAAACAUACUAUGCUCUCUCUCCUCUCAAUGUUCUCACGCAGGUUUGAACCAACAGUAACUUCUAGACUGUAUGAUAUAUGAAAAGCAGCACACUGUUGUGGUUAGGAGUGCAGUCUCUAGAGCCAGCCUGCGUGGGUUUGAAUUCUUGCUUUUGCUUUUCUGUUUGUACAAUCUUAGGAAAGUCUGCAAUCUACAACCUGGAAAAAGGUUUUCACCAGACCCAACCAUGCUGGCACUUGGAUCUCAGACUUCCAGACUCCAGGACUGUGAGAAAUAAAUUCCUGUUGUUUAAAAGCCACCCAGCUCAUGGUAUUGUGUUAUAGCAGCCUGAGCUAAGACAGAAUCAACCAUUUAUUCUCUAAAAUUUCAAUUUUAGAUGGCUGAUGUUGGAAGGGAAUAAAACUGAUGGGAAAGACAGGGACAUCAGCAUCAUCUGACAAAAUGAAGAAUGAAGAGAUACUGCUAUGAUUUGAAUGUGUCCUCCGAAAUUCAUGUGUUGGAAAGUUAAUCUCCAGUCCAACUGUGUUGGGAGGUAGAGCCUUCUGAAGGGUUUAUAUUAUGAGGGUGCAGUCCUUAUGAAUUGAUUCAUGCCACCAUUAAAAGGGCUUUCAGGAGUGGGUUGGCUCCUUCUGCUUUUCUGCCAUGUGAGGACUCAGCACUCCUCCUCUCCAGAGGUGUGGCGACAAGGUGCCAUCUUUGAACCAGAGUCCAAACCUGCUAGCGUCUUGAUAUUGAACUUCCCAGCUUCCAGAACCAUGAGAAAUAAAUUUCUGUUCCUUAUACAUUACCCAGUCUGUGGUAUUUUGUUAUAGUAGCACAAAAUGUAUUAAGAUGGAGACUGUCUCUAGUUGCUGGCAUUCAUCAAAGGUGUUAGUUGCAAGCAAUGGACGGUGACUUUGACUUACUAAGUAGAAAGACUACCAGAAUUAGACUGGAAAGCUAACAAUGAGAGUUUAGCUCUAGCAGAGCUAUGAAAAAACAAGUUCAAGGCUGAUUCUAAGAAAAUACCCAAAAGCAUGUUGCAGAACAGGUCUGAUGAUAAAAAGCCUUGGUGUUUUCCACUGACCACUAGAAGAAAUGACCUCUGCUGCCCAAGCAGUUACACUUUUGUGCCAAGAACUUGAUCUUACAACACUGGGAAACCACUACUCCUAUUGUUGCUACCACCAAAAGUCUCACACCCACUGCCAUCCACACACCUGUACAAAUGGAAUUUCCAGAAGAGCCUGUUUCUUUUCCCUCAUGUUCAUGUAUGAAUGAAACUUUGCAUAGAUUGCCAGAAACGAGGUCACAUGCUUCCGUUAUAGAUGAAAUGGAAAUGGGACUUGGAGUUUGACUCAAAUUGGAGAGGAAGGAGUCACAUUAGUUUUUCCCCAAAUAUGAUACUCAAUAAGUUACUUGGAGGCAAUGACAGAUGUCUACUACAUUGCAACAAUUCAUAAAAGUAUAUUAUUUAAAGUUACAAGAAUCAUUUAAAGAGAGACUAAAAUUAUUGCAAUAUCAUUUACUCCUUCCUCCUUCUGACAGCUUGAAUCCAAUUUAUCAGGAAAUUCUGUUGGCUUUAUUUUCAAAAUAUAUUCAGCAAAUGACUCCUCAAUGCUUCUACUGCUUUCACCUUCAACCAGCUACUGUAGUCUCUGCCCUAAAUUAUUGCAAUAACUUCCUAGCUGGUCUCUCUGCUUCAUGUUUUGUCCAUUUACAGAAUAUUCAAACUCAGCAGCCAGAGAGAUCUUUCAAGAUGUAAGAAAGAUCGUGUCAUGUCUACCCUCAAAACCAUGCAAAGAUUUCACAGGCAACUUAGAGUAGAAACCUAAAGCUUUCCAAGAGCUUGCCGUGACUUCAUGGUCUGCUGCUGUCUCCUCAUCUCACCACUGUAACCUCAUCUGCUCCUUCAUUGGCUGUUCUCACCACUGUGGCCUCUUAUUGGUCAUCAGAUAAGAGUGGCAAACUUUGUCCUUUAUGUUGGUUGGUUCCUCUGGGGAAGAGCACUCUUCUCCCAUAUAGUUGCAUGGCUACUCGCUCAUACCUGCAAGAACUCUAUUUAACACCAUUCACAUGGCCUUUAGUAUUCCCAAUCUCACAUGCUGUGCUUUAUCUUUUUUCUAUAGCAUGUAUCACCCCUCUAACAUACUAUAAUUUACUUAAUUAUGAUGUUUAUUUUCUGUCUCAAGAAUGGGAAUGAUUUUGUCUUUUUUAUUAGCUGGCAUAUCCAGG
rnacentral:lncRNA from 10 species